AGCCACGCAGUGAGCACAAAGCGAACUAUUCUUUCGCCUUUUACUAAAGAAUACCGUGUGCUUGCCGCAUUUAGUGGCAUACGCCUAUUUUUGGAGUGGUCCUUCCUUACGUUAGGACU